CUAAGCCAGAUAUUGUUCUACCAAAAGCCAAGGGUCACUGAGAAAGAGAAGAAAACGAAAUAGAAGAACUAUACAAAGUCAUGUAUACUGCUACUUCCGAGUUCCUCGUGUUCAUCUUUCAACAGGUGCUACAUCCUUGAAGCCAUACUCAAAAUUUUAUCACUGUUGAAUUGACCUUUUUGAACAUUUACCUUUUUUCAACUGCUGAUUCUUAAGGUAGCCAACUUAGAAUGGGUAACUGGGGGAC
rnacentral:lncRNA from 1 species